UGUCAAGUAAGGGUUCCCAGGAACAAGUAGCUUUUGCUCAAAUUCUAUAAAUGUAUUCACUAAAUAUUUGACUAUGAACCUAUUUAUUAUUGUUUAUUAACUUGAAAUCGUUGUACGGACCCAUAAACUUUAAAUUUAUAUCCUCUCUGAUUUUUUGUUGAAGCUGAUUGAUCUGGAUACCCUACUGUGCAUUGAUACAAAAUUCAUCAGCUUCAUCUUUACAGCCUUAUUGAUGCUUUGAGUUUCUCCCUUGGUGACUCAAAUUCAAAAUCUUAGGGUUAGAGGACUCAGGAGUGGAUGAGAACAAGCCAACAAGUAUGCAGGCCCUGAAGGCAGGGGAAGAUUCAGAGAUAGGCUACUGAGCAUGAGAACUACUGCAGCCAUGGUUGGUCUAUCAGAAAUAUUUUCUUGAACGCACAGUAACGCUAUAUGAACGCAUCUCAUUAUGUCCCGAACCACCAGUCCUGAGCUUCCCCUCAACAUGGGGUCUAUCAAAUUUGUAGUUGUUUCUUCGCACCAGUUCAUCCAAGCCUGUCACAUUUUAAUACAGAGUUUGAACUCUUACAUCGACAAUGUAAAGAAUUUGAUGCAUAAGGAUGGUCUCCCAACUAGUUCGGCAUUCAGGGGUAGUUGAUUAAUUAACUUGGUUACUUACAUAGCUUAGAAGGUCUUCCACAGAUUCUCCAUUUCUGAAACAAGUGUUUUUUUGGCCACUUAUAAUUUCAAGGACUAGUACUCCAAAGCUAAAAACAUCUGAUUUCAC